UACAGAGGGGGCAAGCGUUGUUCGGAAUUACUGGGCGUAAAGGGCGCGUAGGCGGCCCGCUAAGUCGAACGUGAAAUCCCCGGGCUCAACCCGGGAACUGCGUCCGAUACUGGCAGGCUUGAAUCCGGGAGAGGGAUGCGGAAUUCCAGGUGUAGCGGUGAAAUGCGUAGAUAUCUGGAGGAAUACCGGUGGCGAAGGCGGCAUCCUGGACCAUUACUGACGCUGAGGCGCGAAAGCUAGGGGAGCAAACGGG
rnacentral:rRNA from 1 species